GACGAACGCUGGCGGCGUGCUUAACACAUGCAAGUCGAACGAUGAAGCCUAGCUUGCUAGGUGGGUUAGUGGCGAACGGGUGAGUAAUACGUGAGUAACCUACCUUUAACUCUGGGAUAAGCCCGGGAAACUGGGUCUAAUACCGGAUACGACCAAUCUCCGCAUGGGGUGUUGGUGGAAAGCGUUAUGUGGUGGUUAUAGAUGGGCUCACGGCCUAUCAGCUUGUUGGUGAGGUAACGGCUCACCAAGGCGACGACGGGUAGCCGGCCUGAGAGGGUGACCGGCCACACUGGGACUGAGACACGGCCCAGACUCCUACGGGAGGCAGCAGUGGGGAAUAUUGCACAAUGGGCGCAAGCCUGAUGCAGCGACGCCGCGUGAGGGAUGACGGCCUUCGGGUUGUAAACCUCUGUUAGCAGGGAAGAAGAGAGAUUGACGGUACCUGCAGAGAAAGCGCCGGCUAACUACGUG
rnacentral:rRNA from 1 species